rnacentral:rRNA from 1 species
UACGAAGGGGGCUAGCGUUGCUCGGAAUUACUGGGCGUAAAGCGCACGUAGGCGGCUUUCUAAGUCGGGGGUGAAAUCCUGGAGCUCAACUCCAGAACUGCCUUCGAUACUGGAGAGCUCGAGUCCGGGAGAGGUGAGUGGAACUGCGAGUGUAGAGGUGAAAUUCGUAGAUAUUCGCAAGAACACCAGUGGCGAAGGCGGCUCACUGGCCCGGUACCGACGCUGAGGUGCGAAAGCGUGGGGAGCAAACAGG